CCCACCUCACUGCCUAGUGGGGGCGCCCUAGGGUGGCUCCCUGCAAGGGCCUGGACAGCCUAUCGGAGGUCCCCGUUAAAGCACUUUGCAGCAAAUCCCUUUUGAGGGGUGGGGUGGGGGCGGGGCCAGGCUCCGGGAGGGUUGCAGAGCAGCGUGGACGGGUACCCAAGGCCCCUCGGUGCCCCAGCCCCUGGGAUCCCGCCGUCGGGCAGCCAGCUCGCACCUGGUCAGCCACACCGGGGCGCUGUGCCGGGGCUGGCCCUCACUGCGCUCCGCGGGUCGCCCCCAUCUUCGCCCCACCGGAAGCUGGGGAGGCCCUGCCCUGACGGCUGGGCCAGACAUCACCACCACCUGAUUGAAUGUCAUGGGCAGUGCCAGGGAGCAAGGCCAAAAGGAGGGUGCCAGGAGUUUGGUGCGGGUGGAAUGGAGACCCAAAGGAGGUGCUUGGAUGGAUGCUCUGGGAGCCCAGAAGCCCACCUGGGCCUGUUGGAGAUUCACAGCCUCUAGCCUGGAGGAAGAGAGUGCUGGUCAGCCAGAAGGAUGCAGGCUCGGGGACAAUGUGGAGAGUGGGGGACAUCUGAGCCAACUUUAGCACAUGAGGUGACGGAAUCGGCCGCUCGACGCUAAUGCAAUCCAUGACAUGUUACAAGGCUAACCGCGUCCGUUUUGAAGUUUGUUUUCCUUCGGGAAUUACACAGUUCGUUUAACCUAAUCUGUCCUGACACUUGAAUUAUAAUAUUAUGAGCUUCUUCAGGGAAGUAAAACAGUAGUUGCCUCCUUAAAAGCAAAGCAGAAGUUAAUAAAGUGGGCAAAAUGUCAAGGA